UCUCCUUACAGUGACCCCGCAGACGGCCACUGGUGCCGAGCGCCGAGAGGAGCCGCUCCGUGGGAAGGGGCAGAAGGACGGAGCCUCUUUGGAGCCACAGCAGUCCUUGCUCGAGGCACUCUCCUUGCUCAGCAGCGAUGACUGGGAGCUGAAGGAGAAGGGACUCUUCAGCAUCAAACACCUGGCUGAGUCCCACUCAGAAGUCCUUCUUUGUAGACUUCGUGAGGUUUGCUUGGCACUUACCAACGAGGUGACCAACCUUCGCUCAAAGGUGUCUUACUCUGCAAUCGUCACUCU